UACGGAGGAUGCAAGCGUUAUCCGGAAUUAUUGGGCGUAAAGCGUCCGCAGGUGGCACUUCAAGUCUGCUGUCAAAGACCGGGGCUUAACCCUGGAAAGGCAGUGGAAACUGAAGCGCUAGAGUGUGGCAGGGGUAGAGGGAAUUCCCGGUGUAGCGGUGAAAUGCGUAGAGAUCGGGGAGGAACAUCGGUGGCGAAAGCGGCGAUCCUGGACCGACACUGACGCUGAGGCGCGAAAGCUAGGGUAGCAAACGGG
rnacentral:rRNA from 1 species